UACGUAGGGUGCAAGCGUUGUCCGGAAUUAUUGGGCGUAAAGAGCUCGUAGGCGGUCUGUCGCGUCGGAUGUGAAAUCCAGGGCUCAACCCUGGACCUGCAUUCGAUACGGGCAGACUAGAGUUCGGCAGGGGAGACUGGAAUUCCUGGUGUAGCGGUGAAAUGCGCAGAUAUCAGGAGGAACACCGGUGGCGAAGGCGGUCUCUGGCCGAUACUGACGCUGAGGAGCGAAAGCGUGGGGAGCAAACAGG
rnacentral:rRNA from 1 species